rnacentral:rRNA from 1 species
GAUGAACGCUGGCGGCGUGCCUAAUACAUGCAAGUCGAGCGAACAGACGAGGAGCUUGCUCCUCUGACGUUAGCGGCGGACGGGUGAGUAACACGUGGAUAACCUACCUAUAAGACUGGGAUAACUUCGGGAAACCGGCGCUAAUACCGGAUAAUAUAUUGAACCGCAUGGUUCAAUAGUGAAAGACGGUUUUGCUGUCACUUAUAGCUGGAUCCGCGCCGCAUUAGCUAGUUGGUAAGGUAACGGCUUACCAAGGCAACGAUGCGUAGCCGACCUGAGAGGGUGAUCGGCCACACUGGAACUGAGACACGGUCCAGACUCCUACGGGAGGCAGCAGUAGGGAAUCUUCCGCAAAGGGCGAAAGCCUGACGGAGCAACGCCGCGUGAGUGAUGAAGGUCUUCGGAUCGUAAAACUCUGUUAUUAGGGAAGAACAAAUGUGUCAGUAACUAUGCACGUCUUGACGGUACCUAAUAAGAAAGCAACGGCUAACUACGUG